GGUCAUUCGCUGCUCCUGCGCGAGCAGGUGCAGAGGAAAGUCCGGACAUCGCAGGGCAGGAUUCCCCGUGAAAUCGGGGGGGGCUUGCUUCAACGCAAGCUCACGGCAAGUGCAACAGAAAAUAUACCGCCCUCAAUUGAAGGUAAGGUUGAAAUGGUGGGGUAAGAGCCUACCGCCACUAGGGCGACCUAGUGGGCAAUGUAAACCCAAUCCGAUGCAAGGUGAAAUAGGAAACCGGGUUGCCCGCCCCAUGGUUUCGGGUACGCCGCAUCUCCCUAGGGGGAAUCAAUGCUUGCAUUGAUAGAUAAAUGAAUGACUAUUCGAACCCUUUACCGGGAGAAUAACAAAAUCUGGCUUACAGCUU
rnacentral:RNase_P_RNA from 1 species